rnacentral:rRNA from 1 species
AAUGAACGCUGGCGGCAGGCCUAACACAUGCAAGUCGAACGAGUGGCGGACGGGUGAGUAAUGUCUGGGAAACUGCCUGAUGGAGGGGGAUAACUACUGGAAACGGUAGCUAAUACCGCAUACCAUCGGAUGUGCCCAGAUGGGAUUAUGUUGUGGGUGGGGUAACGGCUCACCAAGGCGACGAUCCCUAGCUGGUCUGAUCGGAUGACCACCAAAACGGGACUGGAGACACGGUCCAGACUCCGACGGAAGUAAGCAGUGGGGAAUAGUGCACAAGGGGCGCAAGCCUGCUGCAGAAAUGCCGCGUGUAUGAAGAGGGCCUUCGGGUUGUAAAGUACUUUAAGCGGGGAGGCGUUACCCGAAGAGGAAGCACCGGCUAACUCCGUGCCAGCCGCCGCGGUAAUAC